UGGAGUCAAUAAAAAAAAAACACUAUUACCGUUUCUUCUCUCAAGUCAAGCGACUCUUAGGCGAUCAAGUUCAGAUUCUCUGGUUUUGCUCCAGCCGACGCCGGCUCCGGCGUCGGCUGCACUCUUUCUUUUUCUACUUUAAUUGUUAGGUUUUGUUAUUAAUGGUUUCCCUAUCUCUCUCAAACGAGCAUUCUCGUAAUUGGUUUCUCUUCGUUUGGAAGAGUGUUUGUCCGGCGAUUCUUUUGGAUCAGUUUUGUCGGUGUAUGUCCGUUUAGUGCAAUCUCUAGCGGUGGGUGGGACUUUAUUGCCGUACGACAUAAUCCCUUGCCGGCGUAUUUCCAAGAUUUCACUUCGUUGGUCUUGUUCUUCAUCAGUUUUGGUUGGCUUCGGAAACAUGUACUAUGGCAACAACUAUGGAAGUGAUGGCAUUUCAGAAUGAAAGAGGAAACCAUAGUCAAUAAGCGGAAACGAUAUCAAAGGUUGAUUUCAAAGAAAGUAAAGUCAAAGUCAAUUCCCCAUGUAAAGACUCGGAUACGGAAAUAUUGGUAUCCGAUAGUCAUAUUUUCAGAACUUACAAUGGAAGCAAUAGGUUUCACCAUGCAGUGUGCAAUUUGGAGAUCAAGCCAAGAGAAGGUAUCCACGCACAUAGUUCGCAUCAGAGCGAGAUCGAAUAUGAAGAAGGAAAAUAAUGGAUCUAAUAGUCCGUUAGCGAGUAAGGCUUAUCUGAGAAAAGCAUCGUCAAAUUCUUUUUGUAUUGUGUAUCUUUCUUACUAUAUAACGCAUAAAUAUGCUUAUGUAAUAAUUUGCUUUUCGAAAGUUCUGUAUACUGACUUUGUAAAGUUGAUUUGA